rnacentral:rRNA from 1 species
AAACCUGAGAAACCCGAAAGUUCGAAUGAAAAGAUUCAAUAUUCUUCAAUUGGUUGUACAUUUACUUAGUGUCAAAUGCUGUGAUAGUUUUGUUAAUUUCUUUAUCCUUAACAGGAUUUAGAAUGUACAUUAUCUACACCACUUUGUUUAUGAACUAAAUACAACUAUGAAGGUAUGCACUUCUUUUCUAGUAGGACGUUGCGACCCAUUGAAUGUUAAUCUACGGCUACUCGUUAGAGCCUAUUCCCUAUUUUACUUAAUUGUAUUUAUGGGGAAAUAGAUUUCUGAGUGUGUCCCGAAUAACUGUUCGAUGGUAUUAUAAAAACCAUAAUAUUGGAUCGCCAUUUAUGGGCAUUUGGUAUUCAUUCAAGUAUGUAAGGUAAUUUGAAUGUCAGGCUAUGUACUGGCUUUGAAUCCUAACUACUGUUAGAGUGAAAUUUACUAUCAAAUAGUAUCCUUUUAUUGGUCAGCAACGCUGUUGCUUUGGGUACUUUCAGGAC